rnacentral:rRNA from 1 species
AUUGAACGCUGGCGGCAUGCCUUACACAUGCAGGUCGAACGGUAGCGGGCCUUCGGGUGCCGACGAGUGGCGAACGGGUGAGUAAUGUAUCGGAACGUACCUUUCAGUGGGGGAUAACGUAGCGAAAGUUUCGCUAAUACCGCAUAUUCUGUGAGCAGGAAAGCAGGGGAUCGCAAGACCUUGCGCUGAUUGAGCGGCCGAUCUCAGAUUAGCUAGUUGGUGAGGUAAAGGCUCACCAAGGCGACGAUCUGUAGCGGGUCUGAGAGGAUGAUCCGCCACACUGGAACUGAGACACGGUCCAGACUCCUACGGGAGGCAGCAGUGGGGAAUUUUGGACAAUGGGGGCAACCCUGAUCCAGCCAUGCCGCGUGAGUGAAGAAGGCCUUCGGGUUGUAAAGCUCUUUCGGCCGGGAAGAAAUCGUAUCAGCUAAUACCUGGUGCGGAUGACGGUACCGGCAUAAGAAGCACCGGCUAACUACGUGCCAGCCGCCGCCGUAAAAC